rnacentral:rRNA from 1 species
UACGGGGGGGGGCAAGCGUUGUUCGGAAUUACUGGGCGUAAAGGGCCAGUAGGCGGCCAACUAAGUCGGAUGUGAAAUCCCCAGGCUUAACCUGGGAACUGCAUCCGAUACUGGAUGGCUUGAAUUCGGGAGAGGGAUGCAGAAUUCCAGGUGUAGCGGUGAAAUGCGUAGAUAUCCGGAGGAACACCAGUGGCGAAGGCGGCCGCCUGGACCUGACCUGACGCUGAGGCGCGAAAGCUAGGGGAGCAAACAGGG